UGUUUGUCUGAUACUGUCUAAAUCAUCUGCAAUAGACUAAGGCCAAUGAUAAAACACUUAAUUUGCUAAAAACUAUUUUUAUGUGUUUCAAUUAUGAAGAAAGUAAUGUUCAUAACAAAGGGAGCACUAGGAGCACUUCUUACUCACUGCAAUCAUUGAUGUUUUUUUGUUUUUUUUAUUUAUCAGUUUUUUUUUAAACAAAGAAAAAAAUUAAAUAGGAUACCACAAAACUUACUACUGACACAGCUUCAUUAGCAUUUCGGUAUCUUAUUUUCAUUCAAAACUUUUUUUUAUCGAUCGUGUAUUGUUUUUACCGUUUCCUGAACACUAUAGACUCUUCUGGUGUAAAAUUUUUUUGAAAUCUUUUUUUUAGUGAUGGUAUUUUACUAAGCCAGAUUAAAUAUAAUUAUGACAAGAUGACGAAUACAUUAUUCAUUUUCUAUUUCCUUUAUAGGAGUCAUAAUUUAAAAAAAUGUAGACUGCUGUAUAUCGCUUUAAAUAAAGUAAAAACGUCGAUUCAAGUAGCCUAACAUAAAUUUUUGCGCGAUAUUGAUUCAAAGGCAAAAAUAAUAUACAAAAUGAAAAUAUGUAUAACAUUCGACAUAUCUAACCUGUGUACUAUUUGAAUAAAGUAUAUUUUUACGACUAUCUUCAUAUACUUAUGUAGUACGUAGCGAGAGCAUGUUAUUUUAAAAAUUCAAUAUUGCUAAACGUAGUUGGACUGGGGGAUAUAUCAUGUGAAAGCAAUUUGAGCACCUCUUUCUGAGCACUAAGCAUUAUUUAUGGUAAGCCCUUCGCAUUCAGUGGAUUGCCCAUUGAGUUUCAAAGGAUUUUUUUAAGUGUUAAAUUUGUCGCACCGCUUAAAGCGAACCUUUAAUAACCAAAACUCGAAGUCCAAUAAUAAUAUUUCGCCUCGGUAUCCGUAACAGGCCACAGAUUCUCGUUCAAUGUACACUAAUUUUCAUUAAGGUAACAAGAGUUAUUUGGGAUACAUAAUGAAAUUAUGAUUUUACGAUUCUGUUAUCACACUAAGUAAUUUAGUAUCUACUGUGGUUUGCAAUGUAGCAUUAAUUUUACAAUCCUUCUGUGUUGUGUAUGUAAUAUAUUUCUGUAUGUUCAUGUGUAGAAUAAAUGAAUCGAAAUAAUUAUAAAAAUUAUAUUGGUAAUACUUUAGUUAUAUUGAUGUUGUUUUAGCUUUCGAUGCAGCGCUGGUCAUAUGUAUUGUUUUAUUUUAAAUUACAUUUAUACAUUAAUUUUAUACGUUGUUGAUUUAAAGGUUAAAAAAUAGUAUUUUUGAUUACUAUUAAUUUGUAAGUAAUAUCAAACGGCUAAUGAAACGGGAAGUACAACUUAGAAUGUAGCUUAAAAAAAUGGGUUUGUUCCCAUUUAUUGGUAUAUUAUAUUAUUCUUUGUUUUGUUUUUAGGAAAGGCCUAUUUCAUAUGUGUUCAAUAUAUUUUGUUAAGUUAAUAAAUGCAUAUAAUAAAAAGAAACAAGUACUUUGAAUUUUAUCUAUUCCUACUCACGGCAUUAAAUUUUAAUGGCAAAUGAUAUAGCAAGAAAAAUAAAAAAUAAAAUUGAAAUGAAAAUUGAAAACUAAAAUAAGCAAUAACAGUUUACCCCUUAAUUGAAGUGUAUCUACACGGAACGUUUGCAAAAUACAAAUGGAAUAUGCAUGUACCGAUUAGAAUACCGAUUUGUAUUGUAGUUGUCUAUAUAGCUCAGAUAGCGCUCCUCGCUUGAGAUAGAAUCCUUUUUAGCAAAAUUCAAUUUUAUUUGCUAUUUAUUUUGUUAUGUAACGUCAAC
rnacentral:misc_RNA from 1 species